GGUUAAGCGACUAAGCGUACACGGUGGAUGCCCUGGCAGUCAGAGGCGAUGAAGGACGUGCUAAUCUGCGAAAAGCGUCGGUAAGGUGAUAUGAACCGUUACAGCCGGCGAUGUCCGAAUGGGGAAACCCAGUGCAAUUCGUUGCACUAUCGUUAACUGAAUACAUAGGUUAACGAGGCGAACCGGGGGAACUGAAACAUCUAAGUACCCCGAGGAAAAGAAAUCAACCGAGAUUCCCCCAGUAGCGGCGAGCGAACGGGGAGCAGCCCAGAGUCUGAAUCAGCUUGUGUGUUAGUGGAACGGUCUGGAAAGUCCGACGGUACAGGGUGAUAGUCCCGUACACCAAAAUGCACAGGCUGUGAACUCGAAGAGUAGGGCGGGACACGUGGUAUCCUGUCUGAAUAUGGGGGGACCAUCCUCCAAGGCUAAAUACUCCUGACUGACCGAUAGUGAACCAGUACCGUGAGGGAAAGGCGAAAAGAACCCCGGCGAGGGGAGUGAAAAAGAACCUGAAACCGUGUACGUACAAGCAGUGGGAGCACCUUCGGGUGUGACUGCGUACCUUUUGUAUAAUGGGUCAGCGACUUAUAUUCUGUAGCAAGGUUAACCGUAUAGGGGAGCCGCAGGGAAACCGAGUCUUAACUGGGCGUUAAGUUGCAGGGUAUAGACCCGAAACCCGGUGAUCUAGCCAUGGGCAGGUUGAAGGUUGGGUAACACUAACUGGAGGACCGAACCGACUAAUGUUGAAAAAUUAGCGGAUGACUUGUGGCUGGGGGUGAAAGGCCAAUCAAACCGGGAGAUAGCUGGUUCUCCCCGAAAGCUAUUUAGGUAGCGCCUCGUGAAUUCAUCUUCGGGGGUAGAGCACUGUUUCGGCUAGGGGGUCAUCCCGACUUACCAACCCGAUGCAAACUACGAAUACCGAAGAAUGUUAUCACGGGAGACACACGGCGGGUGCUAACGUCCGUCGUGAAGAGGGAAACAACCCAGACCGCCAGCUAAGGUCCCAAAGUCAUGGUUAAGUGGGAAACGAUGUGGGAAGGCACAGACAGCCAGGAUGUUGGCUUAGAAGCAGCCAUCAUUUAAAGAAAGCGUAAUAGCUCACUGGUCGAGUCGGCCUGCGCGGAAGAUGUAACGGGGCUAAACCAUGCACCGAAGCUGCGGCAGCGACACUAUGUGUUGUUGGGUAGGGGAGCGUUCUGUAAGCCUGCGAAGGUGACCUGUGAGGGUUGCUGGAGGUAUCAGAAGUGCGAAUGCUGACAUAAGUAACGAUAAAGCGGGUGAAAAGCCCGCUCGCCGGAAGACCAAGGGUUCCUGUCCAACGUUAAUCGGGGCAGGGUGAGUCGACCCCUAAGGCGAGGCCGAAAGGCGUAGUCGAUGGGAAACAGGUUAAUAUUCCUGUACUUGGUGUUACUGCGAAGGGGGGACGGAGAAGGCUAUGUUAGCCGGGCGACGGUUGUCCCGGUUUAAGCAUGUAGGCUGGUUGUCCAGGCAAAUCCGGAUAAUCAAGGCUGAGGUGUGAUGACGAGGCACUACGGUGCUGAAGUAACAAAUGCCCUGCUUCCAGGAAAAGCCUCUAAGCAUCAGGUAACAUCAAAUCGUACCCCAAACCGACACAGGUGGUCAGGUAGAGAAUACCAAGGCGCUUGAGAGAACUCGGGUGAAGGAACUAGGCAAAAUGGUGCCGUAACUUCGGGAGAAGGCACGCUGGUGUGUAGGUGAAGUCCCUGCGGAUGGAGCUGAGACCAGUCGAAGAUACCAGCUGGCUGCAACUGUUUAUUAAAAACACAGCACUGUGCAAACACGAAAGUGGACGUAUACGGUGUGACGCCUGCCCGGUGCCGGAAGGUUAAUUGAUGGGGUUAUCCGUAAGGAGAAGCUCUUGAUCGAAGCCCCGGUAAACGGCGGCCGUAACUAUAACGGUCCUAAGGUAGCGAAAUUCCUUGUCGGGUAAGUUCCGACCUGCACGAAUGGCGUAAUGAUGGCCAGGCUGUCUCCACCCGAGACUCAGUGAAAUUGAACUCGCUGUGAAGAUGCAGUGUACCCGCGGCAAGACGGAAAGACCCCGUGAACCUUUACUAUAGCUUGACACUGAACAUUGAGCCUUGAUGUGUAGGAUAGGUGGGAGGCUUUGAAGCGUGGACGCCAGUCUGCGUGGAGCCAACCUUGAAAUACCACCCUUUAAUGUUUGAUGUUCUAACGUUGGCCCCUGACCGGGGUUGCGGACAGUGUCUGGUGGGUAGUUUGACUGGGGCGGUCUCCUCCCAAAGCGUAACGGAGGAGCACGAAGGUUAGCUAAUCCUGGUCGGACAUCAGGAGGUUAGUGCAAUGGCAUAAGCUAGCUUGACUGCGAGCGUGACGGCGCGAGCAGGUGCGAAAGCAGGUCAUAGUGAUCCGGUGGUUCUGAAUGGAAGGGCCAUCGCUCAACGGAUAAAAGGUACUCCGGGGAUAACAGGCUGAUACCGCCCAAGAGUUCAUAUCGACGGCGGUGUUUGGCACCUCGAUGUCGGCUCAUCACAUCCUGGGGCUGAAGUAGGUCCCAAGGGUAUGGCUGUUCGCCAUUUAAAGUGGUACGCGAGCUGGGUUUAGAACGUCGUGAGACAGUUCGGUCCCUAUCUGCCGUGGGCGCUGGAGAAUUGAGGGGGGCUGCUCCUAGUACGAGAGGACCGGAGUGGACGCAUCACUGGUGUUCGGGUUGUCAUGCCAAUGGCACUGCCCGGUAGCUAAAUGCGGAAGAGAUAAGUGCUGAAAGCAUCUAAGCACGAAACUUGCCCCGAGAUGAGUUCUCCCUGAGACUUUAAGUCUCCUGAAGGAACGUUAAAGACGAUGACGUUGAUAGGCCGGGUGUGUAAGCGCAGCGAUGCGUUGAGCUAACCGGUACUAAUGAACCGUGAGGCUUAACCUU
rnacentral:rRNA from 1 species